rnacentral:rRNA from 1 species
UACAGAGGGUGCAAGCGUUAAUCGGAAUUACUGGGCGUAAAGCGUGCGUAGACGGUUAUGUAAGUCAGAUGUGAAAGCCCAAGGGCUCAACCUUGGAAUUGCAUUUUGAGACUGCAUAGCUAGGGUGCGGAAGAGGGAAGCGGAAUUUCCGGUGUAGCGGUGAAAUGCGUAGAUAUCGGAAGGAACACCAGUGGCGAAAGCGGCUUCCUGGUCCAGCACCGACGUUCAGGCACGAAAGCGUGGGGAGCAAACAGG